CAAAGGCUUGGUCCUGACUUUACUGUCAGCUUUAGCUAUACUUACACAUGCAAGUAUCCGCCCCCCUGUGAGAAUGCCCACAGUUCCCUGCUUGGGAACAAGGAGCUGGUAUCAGGCACACCCUCUGUAGCCCAUGACACCUUGCUUAGCCACACCCUCAAGGGAAAUCAGCAGUGAUAGAUAUUAAGCUAUGAGUGAAAACUUGACUUAGUUAAAGCUAAGAGGGCCGGUAAAACUCGUGCCAGCCACCGCGGUUAUACGAGAGGCCCAAGUUGACAGACAACGGCGUAAAGAGUGGUUAAGGAAACCCAAAAACUAAAGCCGAACGCUCUCAGAGCUGUUAUACGCAUCCGAAGGUAUGAAGCCCAACUACGAAAGUGGCUUUACAUCACCCGAACCCACGAAAGCUAAGAAACAAACUGGGAUUAGAUACCCCACUAUGCUUAGCCCUAAACAUCGAUUAUUUACUACACCCUAGAUCCGCCCGGGAAUUACGAGCAUAAGUUUAAAACCCAAAGGACUUGGCGGUGCUUAACAUCCAMCUARAGGAGCCUGUUCUAGAACCGAAUNANCCCCGNUCAACCUCACCCUCCCUUGCUUUUCCCGSCUAUAUACCAMCGUCGUMMRCUUACCCUGUGAAGGNUUUAUAGUAAGCAAAGUUGGCACAGCCUAAAACGUCAGGUCGAGGUGUAGUGCAUGAGAGGGGAAGAAAUGGGCUACAUUCGCUACUAAUAGCGAAUUACGAAUGUUGCAUUGAAACAUGCAGCUGAAGGAGGAUUUAGCAGUAAGCAGAAAGCAGAGCGUCCCGCUGAAACUGGCCCUAAAGCGCGCACACACCGCCCGUCACCCUCCCCAAGCUUCCGGCCCUAAUUAACUAAAACCCUACAACUGCAAAGGAGAGGAAAGUCGUAACAUGGUAAGUGUACCGGAAGGUGCGCUUGGAAAAAU
rnacentral:ncRNA from 1 species